GGCAGGUCAGCGAAAACACAGUCGAAGUGCCAUUUACCCCCAUCAUUUCGCCUGCACCUGUGCUGUCCGAGAGAG
rnacentral:snoRNA from 1 species